GACGAACGCUGGCGGCGUGCCUAAUACAUGCAAGUUGAGCGAUGAAGAUUGGUGCUUGCACCAAUUUGAAGAGCAGCGAACGGGUGAGUAACGCGCGGGGAAUCUGCCUUUGAGCGGGGGACAACAUUUGGAAACGAAUGCUAAUACCGCAUAACAACUUUAAACAUAAGUUUUAAGUUUGAAAGAUGCAAUUGCAUCACUCAAAGAUGAUCCCGCGUUGUAUUAGCUAGUUGGUGAGGUAAAGGCUCACCAAGGCGAUGAUACAUAGCCGACCUGAGAGGGUGAUCGGCCACAUUGGGACUGAGACACGGCCCAAACUCCUACGGGAGGCAGCAGUAGGGAAUCUUCGGCAAUGGACGAAAGUCUGACCGAGCAACGCCGCGUGAGUGAAGAAGGUUUUCGGAUCGUAAAACUCUGUUGGUAGAGAAGAACGUUGGUGAGAGUGGAAAGCUCAUCAAGUGACGGUAACUACCCAGAAAGGGACGGCUAACUACGUG
rnacentral:rRNA from 1 species